rnacentral:tRNA from 1 species
CAAAGUGUAGCUUAAAUUAAAGCAUCCAGCUUACACCCGGAAGAUCUCACCUACCAAUGAUCACUUUGA